rnacentral:rRNA from 1 species
GACGUAGGGGGCGAGCGUUGUCCGGAUUUAUUGGGCGUAAAGAGCUCGUAGGCGGCUCAGAAAGUCGGGUGUGAAACCUCCAGGCUCAACCUGGAGACGCCACCUGAUACUGCUGUGGCUAGAGUCCGGUAGGGGAACACGGAAUACCCGGUGUAGCGGUGAAAUGCUUAGAUAUCGGGUGGAACACCAGUGGCGAAGGCGGUGUUCUGGGCCGGAACUGACGCUGAGGGGCGAAAGCGUGGGUAGCAAACAGG